UGGAGCGUCAUAGAGGGUGACAAUCCCGUCUUUGACACGGACUACCAGGGCUCUGUGGUAUGCUCUCAAAGAGUCGAGUUGUUUGGGAAUGCAGCUCAAAAUGGGUGGUAAAUUCCAUCUAAAGCUAAAUAUUGGCGAGAGACCGAUAGCGAACAAGUACCGUGAGGGAAAGAUGAAAAGAACUUUGGAAAGAGAGUUAAACAGUACGUGAAAUUGCUGAAAGGGAAACGCUUGAAGUCAGUCGCGUUGACCAGGAUCAACCUUGCUUUUGCUGGGCGUAUUCUCUGGUGGACGGGCCAGCAUCAAUUUUGACCACUGGAGAAAGGCUGAGGGAAUGUGGCAUCUUCGGAUGUGUUAUAGCCCUUGGUCGUAUACAGUGGUUGGGAUUGAGGAACUCAGCACGCCGCAAGGCCGGGUUUUUAACCACGUUCGUGCUUAGGAUGCUGGCAUAAUGGCUUUAAUCGACCCGUCUUGAAACACGGACCAAGGAGUCUAACAUGCCUGCGAGUGUUGGGUGGUAAACCCGAGCGCGUAAUGAAAGUGAAAGUUGAGAUCCCUGUCGUGGGGAGCAUCGACGCCCGGACCUGACCUUUUGUGACGGAUCUGCGGUAGAGCAUGUAUGUUGGGACCCGAAAGAUGGUGAACUAUGCCUGAAUAGGGUGAAGCCAGAGGAAACUCUGGUGGAGGCUCGUAGCGAUUCUGACGUGCAAAUCGAUCGUCAAAUUUGGGUAUAGGGGCGAAAGACUAAUCGAACCAUCU
rnacentral:rRNA from 1 species